rnacentral:misc_RNA from 1 species
UGAAGCAGAAGCAGAUGAGAAGAGCUUGAGUUCCAUUCUCCAAGCCCGCAAGAAGAAUCCUACUAAUGCUGGUACUUUAACCACCAAAUCUCGUCCCAAAGAUUCCAAGGUCAAGAAGGAGGAGCCCCAAAUUGAUGACGACGACGACGAUUUUGUAAAACCCAAAGUGUUGAAGAGCUCAUCAGGGUCCCGCCCCAACGCAUCUAAAGUCAAGAAGGAAGAAGAUAAGGAUGAUGAUGAUGAUCACAAACCCAUAUCCAAGAAGAACUCUGUGGCCAAGGUCUUGUAUUUUUCUUCUCACUCUUAGUAAAUCUUUUUUUUAUUAUUCUGAGUCUGGUUUUGUUUCUUUGGAGGAGGUGAAUGAGAAAGUUGAAAUUUUAAGUCCCGUGGAAUCUGUGACUCCUCAGAUAGAGAAAUUUAGCUCAGUAUGCCAAAUAAUUAUAUUGAACUUUGUUUAGUUGAAGGUCUAUUUUUUUCAUCUGUAGUUGAAUAAUGAAUAACAUAGGUUUGCUUCAAAUUGUUGAGAUUAUUUUUCUUUCCUGCAUUUCAGUUUCAGUCAGCUAAUAGAAUUUACCUUUUUCAAUUAUGGCUGUUGUUUUAUUUUGUUUUAUGGAUUGACUUGAACUGAAGGAAUUGAACAAUAAGAAGAAGAAAAAGGAGGAAGAGAAGAAGAAGGGAUCUGUAGUUACGGAGCAAAAUGGCAAAAAGAGGGAGAGGAAGGUUUAUGAGUUGCCUGGUCAGAAGCGAGACCCUCCCGAGGAGAGAGAUCCACUUAGGAUUUUUUAUGAAUCACUGUAUAAGCAGCUUCCUAAAAGUGAAAUGGCUCAAAUCUGGUGAGACAUUUUUGCCUUAGUUAUGUUGUUUGUUUAGGCAUGUCAUACUUUUGCUUCGUGUUUAAUUUCUUUGCUUUCCGCUAUAACUUUGGUCUCCAGGAAUUAAAAUAAAAGAAUGCUUAAAGGAGGAGAUCAUUUUAGUGUACCUUUGUUAACCUUUUCAUUCUAUGUUUACAUGAGAUUUGGAUUUAAUUCAUGAGUAAGCGGGCAAGGGCUGCUUAUUAGGUACUCCAAAAUUACUUAAAGGGUGUUUUAAGGCAAAUGUUAUGUGUCUGCUUACAAAAUUGAAACACAAUAUAAUGUGUAUGAAUGUGCAAGUCUAAUUACCAAUCACAUCACGAUGCAUUGGGAAUACCUCUUAAGAUGUGAUAUGGUAAUAUGAGUUGCUGUCUUCUUACAUGCUUUCCCAUUUCUUUUUCUUUCUGUUCUCUUAUUGUUUUCACAUCCUUGUUUGAGUGCAUCUUUAGUUUGGUUAUUGAUGUGGAUUAUGAUGAGGAAUUCCUUUGUGUAUGAAACUUGCAAAUUUGAGCCAAAUGGUAUGCCAAUAACUGAUUAAAAUGUUUGCAUAUUUUGCUUAGUAUUGUCCUAGUCUCAAUGUUGGUAUGUAUUCUGGUGUUGUAGAUAUUAUUGCAAUAUCUUAUGGAAUUUUCUUUUCUGUUUGAACAUUUGAAGCAGUAUAUUUUGGACACAGUUUAUCAUUGAACUUCUUUAUGUGAGAGAAUAUGAAUUUGUGGCCAAUUAUAUUGUCACCCAGUACUCCCUUCUCAACUCUUGUGAUGGGGGGGUAGUGUCUCUGCUGAAAACUAAUGUAUUUAGUAUAUAUAAGUCACUAGUCAGUCGGGCCUUUUGUAAAAUGUUCAGCUGUUGAUGUAUAGGUGUGAUAAUCUUAACUCAAACUUCACAACACUGUCAUUUGUUUUUGUUUCUUUUCACAUCUGUAUUUGGAAUGUGGACAAAAUUUUAAUCUUAUUGCAGAAGUAUUCGUUAUAUUUAGGAUUUACUGGUCUGUUGAUCACAUGUCUGUCCCAUGUUGCUGUCAAUAAGGGAUCAUGUCCACUUUCCUUGAACUACAAAAAAAGGGGCACGUGUAGAGAUAAUGGGGGAAGGUGGGGAGUGUUGGGGUGGCAUGGCAUGCUUCUAUUAAUUUCCAGGGCUUCCCUCUGGUGCUUAUCCAAUGUAGGCAGUUUAAAACCUGCGCUGCGAACUUGGAUUUCAGCAGAUGGAAUUUUACUUCUGCCAAUGUUUAUGUGACCAUUUAUUUGAUGCUCAUGUUAAAAUGGCAUUUGUCUGAUUUCAUCAAUGGCUUAAUAUUGUUGAAAAGUCUUACUUGUCCUUGGUAGUUUCAACAUGCAUAAAUAUGCUGAUGUUUCAUUACUAAAAUUUAUUAUGUGCGAUCUUUCUCGUUUUGCAUUGAUAGUUGAGUGAUGAUUCUGCAUUCCCUGUUAUCUGACAGGAAAAGAAAUUACAUUUGUCAAUUUGGAGUUGCAAAUUCUUUUUGAUCUCUAUAAUAAUGAAUUCAGAAAUAGAAAUAUUACUAUUCAUCAUCUCAUGAUGUUCCUUUGCAAAAUGCACCUAUAAAGUUUGCCCAUGUUUAUUGCACAUUUUGUCCAAAGUGCAAACUCAUGGUUUGUCAUAUACAAUUACGCAUACACAUAUAGCACACUAAAAUUUUCCAAUUGCUUAAGUAAAGGAAACAGAGGUGGCGCAAAGAUAAACUAGAGUGGUCUCAAAUACUGAUGUUGAUCUUGUGAGAACAUUGUGAGCCUAACAGCAACUUACCCUUUCCAGAACCGUUAAACUGAAGUUAAAAUUGUGUAAUCCAAUUGUAGUCCAUGACAAAAAAAUAAAAAUAUAGACCAAGACAAAAAUCUGUAUAUUUCUCUUUAAAAUGUUGCAAAGAAAAGCAAUUGGGAUGGCAGCAAUUGAGAUGGUCUCUUCAAAAUGCACAUUUCUGAAAAUAUCAUGAGGUGUUCUCUCUGAGGCAAAAUAGUUAUCUUUACUCUUUCUUAAGUAUUUACUGUAUGUCUUCAUCUUGCUAUCUAUUGCCUAUAUAGUGAGGCUACAUAUUCUCUUAUGAUCUUUACUGUCUACAUAUGUUUUGAAUCUUUUGAUGGAGAAAUUCUCUGGAUGUAAUUUCAGGAUGAUGGAAUCCGGUUUGCUCUCUAAAGAAGAGGCAAAGAAAGUUUAUGAGAAGAAACAGAAGAAGAAUCAGCAGAAACUGAGUUCCCCAAUCAAAGCAGUUGCCUCAACAAAGAAGACUCAAUCUGCAACUGUUGUUAAGAAAAAGACACCAUCAUCGCCAGUAUCUUCAAUUAAAAAGAAGACAACAGAAUCUGAGCUUGAUAAAAAGCAGCCAAAAAAGCGCAAGAUUGGAGAUGGGAGCUCUGAAGAAGAUUCUGAUGAUGAUUUCAUAGUUAAUAGAAGCACAAAGAAACAGAGAGCAUCUUGAGCAAACAAAUGCGGCAUCUCUUCUUAUUAAUUUCUCUCGAGAGUUGUUUACAUUAUCACUAAUUCACUCAAUUUCUAUCAAAUAUUGAUGUUUACCGAUACUGUCACUGAUUUACAAUACAUUAGAAUCAAAAUCUGUACUUUUAGAAAGCUGUCAUUUUUAUGUUGAUAUCCUCAGACUUGAU